AAAUCCUUGGGGGUUAGGAAAAACUCUGUCCUCAGAGGAAUCUUUGCAUCUUGACUUUUAACCUGAAGAUUUCACAAUGACUGAUUCAUCUGAUUUAAGCAUUGUAGGUCCUCGUAUCAGCCACAUCUACCGUGAUCCUAGGCUGGUGCAACAUCUGCUCUCAGGUCAUCUCCCAGUGACCCAGGUGGCUUCUCAUUUUCAGCCCUCAACAACAGUCUUCCACAUACCCUACUGGGAUCAGGAAGAAAUACCUUGACACCAGAGUCUGCUGUGCAAGAGCCAAGGAAGCUUGAAGCCUGCCAUCAAAGCCUUGGCCUACUCACACCCUGCUGCCUUUGUAUCUGUUUGUAGCAGUCCUACAUUGAGUAUGUUCCUGCAAGUUUGUCUCCUAAAAUGCCAAACAGGAAGCCAAGAAAACUCUUGAAGCUCUCCAGCUUUCAGUUUUUGUUUUUGUUUUUUUUUUUUGCUUAAAUUCUUUUAUUGGUGUAUUUUUGGUAUACAAUACGUUUUCAUUUCUCAUUGGGUGCUUGUAUCUGUACAUGUAAUAUCUCGGUUCUUAUUUUUUCCCCAUUACCUGUGCACACUUCCCCCACUCCACCCUUCCCUAUUUACAAAGACUUUGUUUCCAUUUUUUUUCUUUUCUCAUAAUUUUUCCCUUCAUCCUUGAGAGGGUAGUCAGGACCAUCAAGUUAGACUUCAUAACUCCUUCCCCUCAUUUCUGGUAGAAGUAUCUCAUUCCUCUUCCUGACUCGAGUCCUCCCUCUUUGUCCUAAACUCCCUUUUAAGGGGGUAUUGUCCCCUUCCCAGUGGGAGAAGGUGAUAAGUAAGGGUUUCUACUUUACAAGCGGAAUUUGGAGAUUUUACGGAAAGGGUGAUCUGUAAUUAGAAUCUCUAAUCUGCCUGUGUUAAUUUUUUUUGGUUUUUGUUGUAAUGAUGUACCUUGAUAUUUAUUGAGAAUCUAUAGUAUUCAUUUACAUUACUAUGGCAUUUGCUAACAAGGUAUUUAAUCUUAUUAGCAACUCUGAGGUAGACAUUUAUUAUUCUUGUUUUACAGCUGAGGAAACAAAUAUCUAGGAUCUAAACCCAAAUCUGUUUGAAUUCAAAGCAAAGUUCCUUCUACUUUCCUAUUGCUGUUUGUAUUUUACUUACAAAAAUGUUAAAACUUCAACAAAAAGGGGAAUCUGUUUAUAUUAAAUGUUGGGUUAAUGUACAACUAAUAUGUCAAUUGUAAAUAUGUAUAUAACCUUCAGCUACAAUUCCCUUUCCAUAACUCUUUAGUAAAAAUAAGUAAAAACAAAGUGCUUUGACCUCUGAAGUGAGUCACUCAAUAAAUCCAUUGCUGUCAUUAUUUCAUGUUGUUUAUAUGUUUGCUGAAUGUGAAUUACCAAAGUAUAUAAUAUUUUUCGUGUUUAA
rnacentral:lncRNA from 1 species